rnacentral:rRNA from 1 species
CCUACGGGUGGCUGCAGUGGGGGAUAUUGCACAAUGGGGGGAACCCUGAUGCAGCGACGCAGCGUGGGUGAAGGAGCGUUUCGGCGCGUAAAGCCCUAUCGGCCGGGAAGAAGAUGACGGUACCUGACCAAGACGCCCCGGCUAACUACGUGCCAGCAGCCGCGGUAAUACGGAGGGGGCAGGCGUUAGCCGGAUUUACUGGGUUUAAGGGGGGCGCAGACGGCAAUGCAGGCCGUGGGUGAAAGCCCGGGGCCAACCCCCGGAACUGCCCUUGGAACUGCCUGGCUGGAGUACAGGAGGGGCAGGCGGAAUGCGUAGUGUAGCGGUGAAAUGCAUAGAUAUUAGGCGGAACACCGGUUGCGAAGGCGGCCUGCUGGACCGUGACUGACGCUGAGGCACGAAGGCGUGGGUAGCAAACAGGAUUAGAUACCCGAGUAGUC